rnacentral:rRNA from 1 species
AGAGUUAAAUAGUACGUGAAAUUGUUGAAAGGGAAACGAUUGAAGUCAGUCGUACCGGUGGGUAAUCAGCCUUUCGGUGUGAUUAUGUGGAGUAUGAGGAGUUAAACGCCCUUGUGCUUGCAUAUUCGUGCUCUUUGGGUGUACUUGCCCGCAUGGUAGGUUAACAUCAAUUUCGGACGUCAUAAAAUGGCUGGAGGAAUGUAGCUUCGAUCUUGUAUUGAAGUGUUAUAGCCUUCGGCAGAUGUGAUGAUUGGGAUUGAGGAUUGCAACGGAUACCUUUCGGGGCUACCCGUCUGAUCUCUGAUGGUUGCUCUGGUGCCGAAAGCGUGCUUACGGUUAUCAAAGUUGACGGUCAACAGGUUAGAACGGGUUAAAUUCGUUAAGGAUGUUGACGUAAUGGCUUUAAACGACC